rnacentral:rRNA from 1 species
GACGAACGCUGGCGGCGUGCUUAACACAUGCAAGUCGAACGGAAAGGCCCUGCUUUUGUGGGGUGCUCGAGUGGCGAACGGGUGAGUAACACGUGAGUAACCUGCCCUCGUCUUUGGGAUAACUUCAGGAAACUGGGGCUAAUACCGGAUAGGAGCUCCUGCUGCAUGGUGGGGGUUGGAAAGUUUCGGCGGUUGGGGCUGGACUCGCGGCUUAUCAGCUUGUUGGUGGGGUAGUGGCUUACCAAGGCUUUGACGGGUAGCCGGCCUGAGAGGGUGACCGGCCACAUUGGGACUGAGAUACGGCGCAGACUCCUACGGGAGGCAGCAGUGGGGAAUAUUGCACAGUGGGCGGAAGCCAGAUGCAGCAGCGCCGCGUGCGGGAUGACGGCCUUCGGGUUGUAAACCGCUUUCGCCUGUGACGAAGCGUGAGUGACGGUAAUGGGUAAAGAAGCACCGGCUAACUACGUG